rnacentral:piRNA from 1 species
UAUAAGUAUUAUUGCUUCUUA